UAGGAACUGCAUCCAAAACUAACUCACUAGAGUACGAUAGAGGGAGGUAGAAUUCAUAGUGUAGCGGUGGAAUGCGUAGAUAUUAUGAAGAAUACCAGUGGCGAAGGCGGCCUCCUGGAUCUGUACUGACACUAAGGUGCGAAAGCGUGGGUAGCGAACAGGAUUAGAUACCCUGGUAGUCCACGCCGUAAACGAUGACAACUAGCUGUUGGGAGACAAUGUCUUUCAGUGGCGCAGCUAACGUUUUAAGUUGUCCGCCUGGGGAGUACGGCCGCAAGGCUAAAACUCAAAUGAAUUGACGGGGACCCGCACAAGCGGUGGAGCAUGUGGUUUAAUUCGAUGCAACGCGAAAAACCUUACCUACUCUUGACAUACUUGGAAGCUCUUGUAAUGAGAGUGUGCCUUUUGGAGCCAAGAUACAGGUGCUGCAUGGCUGUCGUCAGCUCGUGUCGUGAGAUGUUCCGUUAAGUCGGAUAACGAGCGCAACCCUUACCCUUAUUUGCCAGCGAUUCGGUCGGGAACUAUAAGGGGACUGCCGGUGAUAAACCGGAGGAAGGUGAGGACGACGUCAAGUCAUCAUGGCCCUUACGAGUAGGGCUACACACGUGCUACAAUGGGGAAUACAGACGGACGCUAAGCCGCGAGGUGGUGCUAAUCCUAUAAAGUUCUUCGUAGUCCGGAUUGGAGUCUGCAACUCGACUCCAUGAAGUCGGAAUCGCUAGUAAUCGCGAAUCAGCAUGUCGCGGUGAAUACGUUCUCGGGUCUUGUACACACCGCCCGUCACACCAUGGAAGUGGAUUGCACCAGAAGUAGAUAGUCUAACCUUCGGGAGGGCGUUUACCACGGUGUGCUUCAUGACUGGGGUGAAGUCGUAACAAGGUAGCCGUA
rnacentral:rRNA from 1 species